GACGAACGCUGGCGGCGUGCUUAACACAUUCAAGUCGAACGGAAAGGCCCUGCUUUUGUGGGGUGCUCGAGUGGCGAACGGGUGAGUAACACGUGAGUAACCUGCCCUUGACUUUGGGAUAACUUCAGGAAACUGGGGCUAAUACCGGAUAGGAGCUCCUGCUGCAUGGUGGGGGUUGGAAAGUUUCGGCGGCUGGGGAUGGACUCGCGGCUUAUCAGCUUGUUGGUGGGGUAGUGGCUUACCAAGGCUUUGACGGGUAGCCGGCCUGAGAGGGUGACCGGCCACAUUGGGACUGGGAUACGGCCCAGACGCCGACGGGAGGCAGCAGUGGGGAAUAUUGCACAAGGGGCGGAAGCCUGAUGCAGCAACGCCGCGUGCGGGAUGACGGCCUUCGGGUUGUAAACCGCUUUCGCCUGUGACGAAGCGUGGGUGACGGUAAUGGGUAAAGAAACACCGGCUAACUACGU
rnacentral:rRNA from 1 species